CAGCCAUGGUAUCAGAAAUCCAACUAUCCUAAAACCGCAAUGCUGUGGGGAAACCCAGCCUAGCCACAUGGAGAGGCUAUGUGGCCAUCCCAAGCUGUCCCAGCCAUUUCAGCCCAGGUGCCGUUCACAUUUGUAACUGGGGAUCCCCUGGAAGAAUCGUCUGGAAAUUACGACCUUCAUCUGGCGAUUGCAGCUGUUAAAGUCUCCAAAGAAGCCAUUCUUACAUUGUGUUGUGAAAUUAUUACUCUAUCUCAAAUCUGUGCCAGAAAGAAAAUAAAAUGUGUGUUUA
rnacentral:lncRNA from 1 species